GUGACAUUCUGUUCCAUUUGUAAUGUCACAAACACCGAAUUAGGGCUACAUGCGAAGAGGAAAGAGGCUGUAUGCGUUAAGUGCUUCUCCUUUCACCGGAGCAGAGAGAACAGAGAAAAUUACUAGGCAGAGACUUCUACUAAAGGCGAACUCUCGAACGGCUCCUCCGUGAAAGGAAGACGCUUCCGGGAACCCGAGGCGCCGGAGGUAUCGAGGGGAGGAUGGGCAUUUCGAAGGAGAGGUGGAAAGUGAAAUUCGUCAGACGACGGACAUCUGGAAGGAGAGGUUGCAAGCGAAAUUCGUUAGACUCGACGGCCAGAGAGUAGAGUCCGUUUCUAGCGUCCGGAAUAUCGCGUCUCCUCGGCUUCGAGGAAACCCUUCUCGUCAAUCACUGCCAGGCAGCUGCAUACAGGUCGCCGCCUCAGCUCCGAAUUUCUUUAUUCAGCUGACCUGGAGUCUAAAUAAUCCGAGACGGUGAAAAUAACAAGGGAGAGUUGUGCAGCGUUAGUGUUUUUAGGGCUCGGAACAGCGUUGGGCACCUAGCAAGCGCUCGACAAGUGCCAUUUGAAAAAGAGAUGCGGCGUCAUCUUUCAAGCUUGGAGCAGCAAAGGGUGGAUGUCUUUUUUUUUUUUUUUAAAUUAAAAUCCGAAGAGAUGGAAAAAGACCGUUGGCUCAAGCCUAAUCUGAGUGCCAGUUUGGCAGGGCCUCGGGGAUGAGGGUCAAUAAAAUCUUCUUAGUUUUCGACGGAGUGAGGAGUUAUGCCUUCCAGACCUGGCUGGAUGUUGCAGGGAUGGGGGAGGGUGGCUAAGUGGGCAGAGGGAGAAGGUUUAUUCGCAUGUCCGUCACCGUAGAGGGAAGGAGCACGGCAGAGCGGGUAGAAACGGGCCUAGGAGGCAGAA